rnacentral:rRNA from 1 species
AACGAACGCUGGCGGCAUGCCUACACAUGCAAGUCGAACGAGAUCUUCGGGUCUAGUGGCGCACGGGUGCGUAACGCGUGGGAAUCUGCCCUUUGGUUCGGAAUAACAGUGGAAACGACUGCUAAUACCGGAUGAUGACGAAAGUCCAAAGAUUUAUCGCCAGAGGAUGAGCCCGCGUAGGAUUAGCUAGUUGGUGUGGUAAAGGCGCACCAAGGCGACGAUCCUUAGCUGGUCUGAGAGGAUGAUCAGCCACACUGGGACUGAGACACGGCCCAGACUCCUACGGGAGGCAGCGGUGGGGAAUAUUGGACAAUGGGCGAAAGCCUGAUCCAGCAAUGCCGUGUGAGUGAUGAAGGCCUUAGGGUUGUAAAGCUCUUUUACCCGGGAUGAUAAUGACAGUACCGGGAGAAUAAGCUCCGGCUAACUCCGUGCCAGCCGCCGCCGUAA